rnacentral:tRNA from 1 species
GUGUGUUUGCCCGAGUGGUCUAAGGGGUCAGACUUAAGAUCUGAUGGUUCAAUCCGCGCGGGUUCGAACCCCGCAGCACACA